rnacentral:rRNA from 1 species
AUUGAACGCUGGCGGCAGGCCUAACACAUGCAAGUCGAACGGCAGCACAGAAGAGCUUGCUCUUUGGGUGGCGAGUGGCGGACGGGUGAGUAAUGUCUGGGAAACUGCCCGAUGGAGGGGGAUAACUACUGGAAACGGUAGCUAAUACCGCAUAACGUCGCGAGACCAAAGUGGGGGACCUUCGGGCCUCACACCAUCGGAUGUGCCCAGAUGGGAUUAGCUAGUAGGUGGGGUAAUGGCUCACCUAGGCGACGAUCCAUAGCUGGUCUGAGAGGAUGAACGACCACACUGGAAGUGAGACACGGUCCAGACUCAUACGGGAGGCAGCAGUGGGGAAUAUUGCACAAUGGGCGCAAGCCUGAUGCAGCCAUGCCGCGUGUAUGAAGAAGGCCUUCGGGUUGUAAAGUACUUUCAGCGGGGAGGAAGGCGGGGAGGUUAAUAACCUUGCCGAUUGACGUUACCCGCAGAAGAAGCACCGGCUAACUCCGUGCCAGCCGCCGCCGUAA